rnacentral:rRNA from 1 species
AGGAUGAACGCUGGCGGCGUGCUUAACACAUGCAAGUCGAACGAUGAAGGCUGGAGCUUGCUCUGGCUGGAUUAGUGGCGAACGGGUGAGUAACACGUGAGUAACCUGCCCCAGACUCUGGGAUAAGCGCUGGAAACGGCGUCUAAUACCGGAUACGAGCUUCCACCGCAUGGUGAGGAGCUAGGAAAGAAUUUCGGUCUGGGAUGGACUCGCGGCCUAUCAGCUUGUUGGUGAGGUAAUGGCUCACCAAGGCGACGACGGGUAGCCGGCCUGGAGAGGGUGACCGGCCACACUGGGACUGAGACACGGCCCAGACCU